UAUUUUGUAGUUUAGUUGGUAGAGCAUCAGACUUGAAACCUAAGAGUAGUGGGUUCAAUACCCAUCCAGGCUAG